GUGCAAUGGCAUAAGCCAGCUUGACUGCGAGCGUGACGGCGCGAGCAGGUGCGAAAGCAGGUCAUAGUGAUCCGGUGGUUCUGAAUGGAAGGGCCAUCGCUCAACGGAUAAAAGGUACUCCGGGGAUAACAGGCUGAUACCGCCCAAGAGUUCAUAUCGACGGCGGUGUUUGGCACCUCGAUGUCGGCUCAUCACAUCCUGGGGCUGAAGUAGGUCCCAAGGGUAUGGCUGUUCGCCAUUUAAAGUGGUACGCGAGCUGGGUUUAGAACGUCGUGAGACAGUUCGGUCCCUAUCUGCCGUGGGCGCUGGAGAACUGAGGGGGGCUGCUCCUAGUACGAGAGGACCGGAGUGGACGCAUCACUGGUGUUCGGGUUGUCAUGCCAAUGGCACUGCCCGGUAGCUAAAUGCGGAAGAGAUAAGUGCUGAAAGCAUCUAAGCACGAAACUUGCCCCGAGAUGAGUUCUCCCUGAGACUUAGAGUCUCCUGAAGGAACGUUGAAGACGACGACGUUGAUAGGCCGGGUGUGUAAGCGCAGCGAUGCGUUGAGCUAACCGGUACUAAUGAACCGUGAGGCUUAACCUU
rnacentral:rRNA from 4 species